CCGUGCUGCAUUAAUGUGCUAAUCUUGGAAAUUAAGCAGCCGUGGGCCUGGCUAGUACUUGGAUGGGAGACUGCCUUGGAUUCCCAGGC
rnacentral:rRNA from 1 species